CUACGGGGGGCUCCAGUUAGGAAUAAUCUACAAUGCACGAAAGUGUGAUAGUUUGAGCCAGAGUGUUUUUCAAAUGGAAAACUUUUAUGAAAUGUAAAAAGUUUCAUGAAUAAGGACUGGGUAAGACAGGUGCCAGCCGCCGCGGUAAUACCUGCGGUCCAAGUCGCAGCCAUUUUUAUUGGGUCUAAAACAUCCGUAGCUUGUUUAAUAAGUUCUUUGUGAAAUCCUGUGUCUUAAGCAUGGGGCGCGCAGAGAAUACUAUUGAACUAGAGACUGGAAGACGUAAGAAGUAUGUUCAAAGUAGUGGUGAAAUAUUUUAAUCUUGGACAGACUCACAAUAGCGAAGGCAUCUUACGAGGACAGUUCUGACAGUAAGGGAUGAAGGCUAGGGGCGCAAAAGGGAUUAGAUACCCGAGUAGUC
rnacentral:rRNA from 1 species